UUGUAGCAAUACAAGGCAGACGGCUCAGUAACGCGUAGUCAACCUACCCUAUGGACGGGAAUAACCUCGGGAAACUGAGUAUAAUGCCCGAUAGAACAUUAUGCCUGGAAUGGUUUAUGUUCCAAAUGAUUUAUCGCCAUAGGAUGGGACUGCGGCCUAUCAGUUUGUUGGUGAGGUAAUGGCCCACCAAGACUAUUACAGGUACGGGCUCUGAGAGGAGUAGCCCGGAGAUGGGUACUGAGACACGGACCCAGGCCCUAUGGGGCGCAGCAGGCGAGAAAACUUUGCAAUGUGCGAAAGCACGACAAGGUUAAUCCGAGUGGUUUCUGCUAAAGGAACCUUUUGUUAGUCCUAAAAACACUAACAAAUAAGGGGUGGGCAAGUUCUGGUGUCAGCCGCCGCGGUAAAACCA
rnacentral:rRNA from 1 species